AUCAUCCACGAUCCCGGCCGCGGCGCGCCGCUCGCGAAGGUCACCUUCCGCCACCCCUUCCGGUACAAGCACCAGAAGGAGCUCUUCGUCGCCGCCGAGGGGAUGUACACCGGUCAGUUCCUCUACUGCGGCCGGAAGGCCACGCUCAUGGUCGGCAACGUGCUGCCGCUCAGAUCUAUUCCGGAGGGGGCGGUGGUUUGUAAUGUUGAGCAUCAUGUUGGGGAUCGCGGCGUGCUGGCAAGGGCGUCGGGGGAUUAUGCGAUUGUGAUCAGUCAUAAUCCGGAUAACGGCACCUCCAGAAUCAAGCUUCCAUCAGGAGCUAAGAAGAUUGUACCGAGUGGCUGCAGGGCAAUGAUUGGACAGGUUGCUGGCGGGGGUAGGACUGAGAAGCCCCUUCUCAAGGCUGGUAAUGCUUACCACAAAUACCGUGUAAAGAGGAACUGCUGGCCCAAGGUCCGAGGUGUGGCCAUGAACCCUGUUGAGCAUCCCCACGGAGGAGGUAACCAUCAGCAUAUCGGUCAUGCUUCAACCGUCCGUCGUGAUGCCCCACCUGGACAGAAGGUUGGUCUUAUU
rnacentral:misc_RNA from 1 species